UGCGGGAUCGUCUAAUGGUAGGACGAUAGAUUCUGGAUCUAUCUAUCUAGGUUCAAAUCCUAGUCCCGCAG
rnacentral:tRNA from 4 species